rnacentral:rRNA from 1 species
GCUUGCUCCUUUGACGUUAGCGGCGGACGGGUGAGUAACACGUGGAUAACCUACCUAUAAGACUGGGAUAACUUCGGGAAACCGGAGCUAAUACCGGAUAACAUUUCGAACCGCAUGGUUCAAUAGUGAAAGAUGGCUUUGCUGUCACUUAUAGAUGGACCCGCGCCGUAUUAGCUAGUUGGUAAGGUAACGGCUUACCAAGGCAACGAUACGUAGCCGACCUGAGAGGGUGAUCGGCCACACUGGAACUGAGACACGGUCCAGACUCCUACGGGAGGCAGCAGUAGGGAAUCUUCCGCAAUGGGCGAAAGCCUGACGGAGCAACGCCGCGUGAGUGAUGAAGGUCUUCGGAUCGUAAAACUCUGUUAUUAGGGAAGAACAAAUGUGUAAGUAACUGUGCACAUCUUGACGGUACCUGAUCAGAAAGCCACGGCUAACUACGUGCCAGCAGCCGCGGUAAUACGUAGGUGGCAAGCGUUAUCCGGAAUUAUUGGGCGUAAAGCGCGCGUAGGCGGUUUUUUAAAUCUGAUGUGAAA